rnacentral:rRNA from 1 species
GAGGAAAGAGGGAGGAGGGAGGAAUACAUGCAAGUCGAGCGAACAGACGAGGAGCUUGCUCCUCUGACGUUAGCGGCGGACGGGUGAGUAACACGUGGAUAACCUACCUAUAAGACUGGGAUAACUUCGGGAAACCGGAGCUAAUACCGGAUAAUAUAUUGAACCGCAUGGUUCAAUAGUGAAAGACGGUUUUGCUGUCACUUAUAGAUGGAUCCGCGCCGCAUUAGCUAGUUGGUAAGGUAACGGCUUACCAAGGCAACGAUGCGUAGCCGACCUGAGAGGGUGAUCGGCCACACUGGAACUGAGACACGGUCCAGACUCCUACGGGAGGCAGCAGUAGGGAAUCUUCCGCAAUGGGCGAAAGCCUGACGGAGCAACGCCGCGUGAGUGAUGAAGGUCUUCGGAUCGUAAAACUCUGUUAUUAGGGAAGAACAAAUGUGUAAGUAACUAUGCACGUCUUGACGGUACCUAAUCAGAAAGCCACGGCUAACUACGUG